rnacentral:rRNA from 1 species
GGGUUGUGAGGUUAAGCGACUAAGCGUACACGGUGGAUGCCCUGGCAGUCAGAGGCGAUGAAGGGCGUGCUAAUCUGCGAUAAGCGCCGGUAAGGUGAUAUGAACCGUUAUAACCGGCGAUACCCGAAUGGGGAAACCCAGUGUGACUCGUCACACUAUCAUUAACUGAAUCCAUAGGUUAAUGAGGCGAACCGGGGGAACUGAAACAUCUAAGUACCCCGAGGAAAAGAAAUCAACCGAGAUUCCCCCAGUAGCGGCGAGCGAACGGGGAGGAGCCCAGAGCCUGAAUCAGCAUGUGUGUUAGUGGAAGCGUCUGGAAAGGCGCGCGAUACAGGGUGACAGCCCCGUACACAAAAGCGCAUGUGCUGUGAGCUCGAUGAGUAGGGCGGGACACGUGGUAUCCUGUCUGAAUAUGGGGGGACCAUCCUCCAAGGCUAAAUACUCCUGACUGACCGAUAGUGAACCAGUACCGUGAGGGAAAGGCGAAAAGAACCCCGGCGAGGGGAGUGAAAAAGAACCUGAAACCGUGUACGUACAAGCAGUGGGAGCACCCUUUUGGGUGUGACUGCGUACCUUUUGUAUAAUGGGUCAGCGACUUAUAUUCUGUAGCAAGGUUAACCGAAUAGGGGAGCCGGAGGGAAACCGAGUCUUAAUUGGGCGUUAAGUUGCAGGGUAUAGACCCGAAACCCGGUGAUCUAGCCAUGGGCAGGUUGAAGGUUGGGUAACACUAACUGGAGGACCGAACCGACUAAUGUUGAAAAAUUAGCGGAUGACCUGUGGCUGGGGGUGAAAGGCCAAUCAAACCGGGAGAUAGCUGGUUCUCCCCGAAAGCUAUUUAGGUAGCGCCUCGUGAAUUCAUCUCCGGGGGUAGAGCACUGUUUCGGCUAGGGGGCCAUCCCGGCUUACCAACCCGAUGCAAACUGCGAAUACCGGAGAAUGUUAUCACGGGAGACACACGGCGGGUGCUAACGUCCGUCGUGAAGAGGGAAACAACCCAGACCGCCAGCUAAGGUCCCAAAGUCAUGGUUAAGUGGGAAACGAUGUGGGAAGGCCCAGACAGCCAGGAUGUUGGCUUAGAAGCAGCCAUCAUUUAAAGAAAGCGUAAUAGCUCACUGGUCGAGUCGGCCUGCGCGGAAGAUGUAACGGGGCUAAACCAUGCACCGAAGCUGCGGCAGCGA